GUUUGCGAAAGUGGAUGGAUGCUUGUAUCUUAUUCACAUAUUAACAGAAGCUUUCAAGAACCUUUUAAUGGUUGGCCAAAACCUUCUGAUAAAUGGCCAAGGGAGGUCCAGAAGAAGCAAUAUCCACCACAAGCACAUUUUUCUUUCAUUCAAAUACACUCAUCUGUUUAUUGAAGCAUUUCGAUACAAGCAUCCAUCCACUUUCGCAAACAUGGUCGACAACAGUACAAGUUUAUAAGCUCUGCGACAUAAAUACGUAAAUGGAUGCCAAUGGAGUACUAGUAUAAAGAAGCAAGUACCUCCAACAAGGAAGCAGCAAAUUGCAUUUGGGUCUCCUCAUCAAUGGUCAAGAAGAGAGGUACAUGCACAAAGAGUGACUGGGUCCCAUUUUGCUCUGCAAAGCGGAGUGAGUGGUAGUAAACAUAAUUGCAGACGAACCGACCAGCAUCAUCAGAGGUCGUCACGUCAUAACCUUUCUUUACCAAGGCCUUUGUAAUAUCAUCAACAGGAAGAGUUGUCUCUCGUACUCGUGAAAUUCCACCGUCAGAAAGAAUAAUGAAGUACCCAUUAUUCUUUCUGUGGUUUCCAUCCCAUCUCAUCAGGACACCGAAAAGUAGCUUCAUUGACAGCUUGGUGCUCAAUGGCAAAUCUUGCCGCUCCACUAUUAACCCCAAAGUGUAGCCAAAUAAUUCUCCCAGAAGUUGAAGAUUCAGAAUCCUUUGUGUUUAUGGCAGAUUGAAAUGUUUGGUACAGGGGUAUGACUGCUCCUUGUCCAGCAGUUUCUAGAACACUACAGCUCCCCAAUAUCAAACCUUUUGGCAAACCCUUCUUCUUCAUGUACUCAUUGAGAUUACUUACAAUAGUCUCAGUUGGAUUCUCUGAAACUCCAUGGAAUUUCUUAAAUCCAGUUACGUGGAUUGUCACAGCAGGAGGCCCUUCAGACCCCAUUCGUACCUCAGUAUUUAGAUUGAAUGUUAUAGCAUGAAAUCUGAAACUAAAAUCCAAGGACCUGAACNNNNNNNNNNNNUAAAAGCCAAUAUCGUUGAUCAAAGACCCAGAUGAUCAAUCUGUAAUCUUCAAGUGAAAAGAAAAAGAAGAUGAUAGAAAAGCAAAUGACUCAGCCACCAGCCUUAAUGAUAAAACUCCUC
rnacentral:misc_RNA from 1 species